UGCUCGAGUGGCGAACGGGUGAGUAACACGUGGGUGAUCUGCCCCUUACUUUGGGAUAAGCCUGGGAAACUGGGUCUAAUACUGGAUAGGACCAUGCUGUAGGUGGUGUGGUGGAAAGAUUAGUUUCGGUAAGGGAUGAGCUCGCGGCCUAUCAGCUUGUUGGUGGGGUAAUGGCCUACCAAGGCGUCGACGGGUAGCCGGCCUGAGAGGGUGGACGGCCACAUUGGGACUGAGAUACGGCCCAG
rnacentral:rRNA from 1 species